UACGUAGGGGGCAAGCGUUGUCCGGAAUCAUUGGGCGUAAAGAGCGUGUAGGCGGCCCGGUAAGUCCGCUGUGAAAGUCCAGGGCUCAACCCUGGGAUGCCGGUGGAUACUGUCGGGCUCGAGUCCGGAAGAGGAGUGUGGAAUUCCUGGUGUAGCAGUGAAAUGCGCAGAUAUCAGGAGGAACACCAAUGGCGAAGGCAGCACUCUGGGACGUGACUGACGCUGAGACGCGAAAGCGUGGGGAGCAAACAGG
rnacentral:rRNA from 1 species